rnacentral:rRNA from 1 species
AUGGGCGCAAGCCUGAUCCAGCAAUGCCGCGUGAGUGAAGAAGGCCUUCGGGUUGUAAAGCUCUUUUGUCAGGGAAGAAACGGUGGGGGCUAAUACACCGUGCUAAUGACGGUACCUGAAGAAUAAGCACCGGCUAACUACGUGCCAGCAGCCGCGGUAAUA